GAAGAGUUCGACAAAGGCUGACUCCAGGAGCAGCUCUUGAUCUGGCGAGCAGAAAUCCGAGAAACCCGGAAUGCUCUUGGCCCACUUCCUGAUCACCUCCAUGGAGGCUGUCAGCAGGUGUUCUUCGUUGGGAUUGGAGUCGAUCUGAGCCCUCACAAGAGACGCGAUCAUGCUGACUGGAGACACUGCGGGCGACGCUUCCUGGACUACUUUUGGCUUGGAGGGCAGGCGACCUCUGCGACCCUUCAGGCUGUCGGUCCUCACAACUGGAAAUAGGAGGAAAAUGUUUCGUGUCAAAACAUGAGGCGCCCCAUCACAACGUAAUCUCGAUCCAACAGACUUUUUCAGCAUGACGUCACGCGCACUUGCUGAUGGCAAAAGAGGAAUGCUUCUAAUUCUUGGAAGCGGAAAGUCUCAGUCGAGUAGAGGAUUUUAAAUGAGGGCGACAGGUAAAGUGAUUUAAAAAUAGACGUGGUGGAAACUCAGACACAGUAACAUGAUUACCGCGGGUUCGGCUAAUAAAUUGACACGCUCUUUUGACGCUGAAAUGGAUGGCACGCUGCAGUGUACUUGAAGGCUAACCAUUAGGUAGUCAAAGAUGAACCGAGCAAACAUUUCCAACAUACGUGUGAGAAAAGACCGACACAGAUUUGGUUGCU